UACGUAGGGCGCGAGCGUUGUUCGGAAUUACUGGGCGUAAAGCGCACGUAGGCGGCUUUGCAAGUCAGAGGUGAAAGCCCGGGGCUCAACCCCGGAAUAGCCUUUGAGACUGCAUCGCUAGAAUUGUGGAGAGGUAAGUGGAAUUCCGAGUGUAGAGGUGAAAUUCGUAGAUAUUCGGAAAGAACACCAGUGGCGAAGGCGACUUACUGGACACAUAUUGACGCUGAGGUGCGAAAGCGUGGGGAGCAAC
rnacentral:rRNA from 1 species